AGAGUUUGAUCCUGGCUCAGAACGAACGCUGGCGGCAGGCCUAAUACAUGCAAGUCGAGCGCAUCCUUCGGGAUGAGCGGCGGACGGGUGAGUAACGCGUGGGAAUAUGCCCUUCUCUAAGGAAUAGCCUCGGGAAACUGAGAGUAAUACCUUAUACGCCCUUCGGGGGAAAGAUUUAUCGGAGAAGGAUUAGCCCGCGUUAGAUUAGGUAGUUGGUGGGGUAAUGGCCUACCAAGCCUACGAUCUAUAGCUGGUUUGAGAGGAUGAUCAGCCACACUGGGACUGAGACACGGCCCAGACUCCUACGGGAGGCAGCAGUAGGGAAUCUUAGACAAUGGGGGAAACCCUGAUCUAGCCAUGCCGCGUGUGUGAUGAAGGCCUUAGGGUCGUAAAGCACUUUCGCCAGAGAUGAUAAUGACAGUAUCUGGUAAAGAAACCCCGGCUAACUCCGUGCCAGCAGCCGCGGUAAUACGGAGGGGGUUAGCGUUGUUCGGAAUUACUGGGCGUAAAGCGCACGUAGGCGGAUUAGUAAGUUAAGGGUGAAAUCCCAGGGCUCAACCCUGGAACUGCCUUUAAUACUGCUAGUCUUGAGUUCGAGAGAGGUAAGUGGAAUUCCAAGUGUAGAGGUGAAAUUCGUAGAUAUUUGGAGGAACACCAGUGGCGAAGGCGGCUUACUGGCUCGAAACUGACGCUGAGGUGCGAAAGUGUGGGGAGCAAACAGGAUUAGAUACCCUGGUAGUCCACACCGUAAACGAUGAAUGCCAGACGUCAGCAAGUAUACUUGUUGGUGUCACACCUAACGGAUUAAGCAUUCCGCCUGGGGAGUACGGUCGCAAGAUUAAACUCAAGGAAUUGACGGGGCCCGCACAAGCGGUGGA
rnacentral:rRNA from 1 species